GUGCUGUAGAUGAUUCUCUAAUUGAAGUUCUGAAUGGCUUGAGAAGUUACUUCGACAAGUCUCUGCCGGCGAUGUUGUUGUACCCUCAGGAACGAGCUCAAUAUGCGAGUGCAGUCCCAGCGGGAAGCGACGUCAGCCCUUGCAGCAUCUAUGGAGCAGAACACCUACUUCGGUUAUUUGUGAAGUUGUCCGAGUUGCUAGUCUAUACAAAUAUGGAACACGAAGCAUUGACCCAGCUACAACAGAAGUUAGCGGAUUUUGUAAAGUUCCUUCAACGGAACCAAAGCAACUUCUUUCUUACCAGUUACGCUUAAGCCGCAGCUGUAAAUAUUAUUAUCUCACAUCAGCAAUUUUUUAAGGCCCUCAUUUUAUUUUUCACCUGAUGACAAUGGUCCACAUUGUUUUGUACAGCUGCUCAAACUCGAAUUAAGAAUGGUGGAUACAAAGUCCAUCUUAUUCCGACUUUUUCGUA
rnacentral:lncRNA from 1 species